UGAGCUCAAACUACUCUUAAUACGAGUCAUAUGUAAUGUAAUAUAAAUUUUAUAAUUUAGGAAUAAUCGGGAAAACUAGUCGAGGAUAUCAUAGGAUUUGUAUUAGGAUAAACUAGAUGAUAAACUAGACUAUAGGGUAUUUAGGCCAAUUACACUAGGUUAUUUGGAUCUUGUAGUCUUGAGUUGUCUUGGAUGGGCUUCUAUGUAGGUCUUAGCAUUUUAAUUGAACUCAGUUAAACUCUAAUUAAAAUCCCACGCCAGAUUAAGGUUUUGCAUCGCCUUUAGAACAUAUGGACAUCCACUCCUUGUAUUUUCACCUUUAAAUGAGUAAGAAAUUGAUGACAUUUAAGAGUCACCCUAUCCUUCUUUCAAUUCACAAGGACCUUCUCUUGAGGUUAGCUUUUGCUUCUCCUUAUAAGUCUGAAUCCACCAUUUUACAUUGAAUAAUCUACUUACACCUUAAACUUUUUGCAACCUUUUACCCAUUGAAAUCUUCUCUUUUUCAAAGAAAAUCCAUCAAAUAUAAAAAUAUAACUUAAAAGACAUAUCAACUGGUAUCAGAGUCAGGUUAAAAGUCUAUCCUAAUGAUAUAUGUUGUUUGUUGGGCAUAUUGUUCUACUCGCUAUCGG
rnacentral:lncRNA from 1 species